rnacentral:misc_RNA from 1 species
AAGUCGUAACAAGGUUUCCGUAGGUGAACCUGCGGAAGGAUCAUUAACGAACAAAUUUUGUUGCUUUUUUUCCUUUUAGGGGGGAAUUGAGCAAUUUAAAAUUUUAAACCCCUAUGUGAACAAAAAGUUCAAGAGAAUGACUGUUUUCCUAAUUAAGGAGAAUGGAAAAUUUUCAAGAAUUAUUAUAAACAAUUAUUCGACUGAAUGUUUUAUUAAAAAAAAUACAACUUUUAACAAUGGAUCUCUAGGCUCUC